AUUGAACGCUGGCGGCAUGCCUUACACAUGCAAGUCGAACGGCAGCACGGGAGCAAUCCUGGUGGCGAGUGGCGAACGGGUGAGUAAUAUAUCGGAACGUGCCCAGUCGUGGGGGAUAACGUAGCGAAAGCUACGCUAAUACCGCAUACGAUCUACGGAUGAAAGCGGGGGAUCGCAAGACCUCGCGCGAUUGGAGCGGCCGAUAUCAGAUUAGCUAGUUGGUGAGGUAAAGGCUCACCAAGGCGACGAUCUGUAGCUGGUCUGAGAGGACGACCAGCCACACUGGAACUGAGACACGGUCCAGACUCCUACGGGAGGCAGCAGUGGGGAAUUUUGGACAAUGGGCGCAAGCCUGAUCCAGCAAUGCCGCGUGCAGGAUGAAGGCCUUCGGGUUGUAAACUGCUUUUGUACGGAACGAAAAGGUUUGGCCUAAUAAGCUGAGCUCAUGACGGUACCGUAAGAAUAAGCACCGGCUAACUACGUGCCAGCCGCCGCGGUAA
rnacentral:rRNA from 1 species